GAUGAACGCUGGCGGCGUGCCUAAUACAUGCAAGUCGAGCGAACGGACGAGAAGCUUGCUUCUCUGAUGUUAGCGGCGGACGGGUGAGUAACACGUGGAUAACCUACCUAUAAGACUGGGAUAACUUCGGGAAACCGGAGCUAAUACCGGAUAAUAUUUUGAACCGCAUGGUUCAAAAGUGAAAGACGGUCUUGCUGUCACUUAUAGAUGGAUCCGCGCUGCAUUAGCUAGUUGGUAAGGUAACGGCUUACCAAGGCAACGAUGCAUAGCCGACCUGAGAGGGUGAUCGGCCACACUGGAACUGAGACACGGUCCAGACUCCUACGGGAGGCAGCAGUAGGGAAUCUUCCGCAAUGGGUGAAAGCCUGACGGAGCAACGCCGCGUGAGUGAUGAAGGUCUUCGGAUCGUAAAACUCUGUUAUUAGGGAAGAACAUAUGUGUAAGUAACUGUGCACAUCUUGACGGUACCUAAUCAGAAAGCCACGGCUAACUACGUGCCAGCAGCCGCGGUAAUACGUAGGUGGCAAGCGUUAUCCGGAAUUAUUGGGCGUAAAGCGCGCGUAGGCGGUUUUUUAAGUCUGAUGUGAAAGCCCACGGCUCAACCGUGGAGGGUCAUUGGAAACUGGAAAACUUGAGUGCAGAAGAGGAAAGUGGAAUUCCAUGUGUAGCGGUGAAAUGCGCAGAGAUAUGGAGGAACACCAGUGGCGAAGGCGACUUUCUGGUCUGUAACUGACGCUGAUGUGCGAAAGCGUGGGGAUCAAACAGGAUUAGAUACCCUGGUAGUCCACGCCGUAAACGAUGAGUGCUAAGUGUUAGGGGGUUUCCGCCCCUUAGUGCUGCAGCUAACGCAUUAAGCACUCCGCCUGGGGAGUACGACCGCAAGGUGAAACUCAAAGGAAUUGACGGGGACCCGCACAAGCGGUGGAGCAUGUGGUUUAAUUCGAAGCAACGCGAAGAACCUUACCAAAUCUUGACAUCCUUUGACAACUCUAGAGAUAGAGCCUUCCCCUUCGGGGGACAAAGUGACAGGUGGUGCAUGGUUGUCGUCAGCUCGUGUCGUGAGAUGUUGGGUUAAGUCCCGCAACGAGCGCAACCCUUAAGCUUAGUUGCCAUCAUUAAGUUGGGCACUCUAAGUUGACUGCCGGUGACAAACCGGAGGAAGGUGGGGAUGACGUCAAAUCAUCAUGCCCCUUAUGAUUUGGGCUACACACGUGCUACAAUGGACAAUACAAAGGGCAGCGAAACCGCGAGGUCAAGCAAAUCCCAUAAAGUUGUUCUCAGUUCGGAUUGUAGUCUGCAACUCGACUACAUGAAGCUGGAAUCGCUAGUAAUCGUAGAUCAGCAUGCUACGGUGAAUACGUUCCCGGGUCU
rnacentral:rRNA from 1 species